rnacentral:lncRNA from 1 species
UGUAUAAAAAUGAAGGGUCUGACUUAACUAUAAAAUACUAUAAUUUAUUGUGAUAUCCACAAGGCUAUGAGUAUUUUUAGAGGUAAGAUUUAUGUUGAGAGUUGCAUGAGAUGCAAUUAGAUAAAUUUUUCUACCUUUGAACUUAUUGAGGUUUGUUGUGAUAUCCACAAGGCUUCAAUGAAGGAUUAGGAUCUCAACCCCAUUAACAAAUCAGAUUAGAAUUUUUUAUUUACCAC